rnacentral:rRNA from 1 species
GACGAACGCUGGCGGCGUGCUUAACACAUGCAAGUCGAACGGAAAGGCCCUGCUUUUGUGGGGUGCUCGAGUGGCGAACGGGUGAGUAACACGUGAGUAACCUGCCCUUGACUUUGGGAUAACUUCAGGAAACUGGGGCUAAUACCGGAUAGGAGCUCCUGCUGCAUGGUGGGGGUUGGAAAGUUUCGGCGGUUGGGGAUGGACUCGCGGCUUAUCAGCUUGUUGGUGGGGUAGUGGCUUACCAAGGCUUUGACGGUUAGCCGGCCUGAGAGGGUGACCGGCCACAUUGGGACUGAGAUACGGCCCAGACUCCUACGGGAGGCAGCAGUGGGGAAUAUUGCACAAUGGGCGGAAGCCUGAUGCAGCAACGCGGCGUGCGGGAUGACGGCCUUCGGGUUGUAAACCGCUUUCGCCUGUGACGAAGCGUGAGUGACGGUAAUGGGUAAAGAAGCACCGGCUAACUACGUG